UUUCAUUUAUCUCCCUCCGUUAACUCUCUCUCCUCAUUUGCUUUCUCUCAUCUCGCCAUCAGUAGCUUGCCUCUCUUUCUCUCUGUUAGCUCAUUUUCUUCAAGGACUCGAGCUAGAAUUGUUGCUUGUUUAAGAGUCUGAAUGAUCAGAUGGCCACUGGUUUCAGUGCUGGAGGCAUGAAUUCUUACAUUGCAGUUGUUAGGGACUUUGAUGGUGAUAUCACAGUAGGCACUGAUGGGUCCUCAAAAGGUGGUGGAAAGAAAAAAGGGGAAAAGAAAUCAGAUCAUAAUGGAUGAGAUUCAGACGGAUGAUAGUUUAGCAGGGGUUUUCUAAAGACACUUGUAAAUACAAUUUAGUUCAAUCGUCUGUAAAUGUUGUCUUCUUUUUUUUUUUUUUCUUCUAUAUAUAGCAACCACAGCAGCACUAUUCAUCCGCUCAAGUCAUUUUGUUAGGUAAUAUCCCUGCAGAAGAGUUCCUCUUAGUUAUCUAAUAGAGCACUUGAGCGAGGUUUAGUAUAAAAUUAUCAAAUUGACCUUGAUCCAUGUGAUCUAAA